rnacentral:lncRNA from 1 species
AGAACUAUUGGAGUGCGGACUCCUGAGACACUCUCGUUGGUGCCAUGCAUAAUGCCUUCUUAUCCAAAUUCUCAGGCUUCUCAGUUUGCCAUCCCAUUUUUGAUGAGGGAAUUGUGACCCAAGCUUUGCAACAUGCCAUUUACUCUGCCAUUCUCUACACAGAGGCCACUGCUACAUUCAUGUUCCUUCCGCUUGGGGUAAGAAC